UAGCUUUCUGGAUGCUAAUUUCUCUCGCUGUCAGAAAACCCAAAUCUUAUCAAUUGGGUGUGAGAACGUGUUUUCUUUAUGUUGUAUACUUAUAUCUGUGUAUGCUAAUGCAAACUCUGGGUUUAAUGUUUUGCUGUUUUUGAACUGGGGCAGCAACCACCCAGAACACCCUUGUAAUCACUUGGCAACCACUCAGAACACCUUAGCAACCUUAUAGCAACACCCUAGCAACCACUCAGAACAUCUUGACAUCAUGCUGAAAAGUUUUGCAUGGACAAAUACCACUAAUGUACAUAUUUUGUAAUAGUGCAAAACAAUGUAGCAUUAGAAUUGAAUUGCACAUUAUUAUUAUUAUUAUUUUUAUAUAUUAAGUAGAUCAAAUUCUUCACAUUAUAACUUUAAUCUGGUUAACAGCUCCCAUUGUUUUUAAGUGUAGUCUUGUGAGGGGUAGCACUGUCCUUCAAGAUUUAAUCCUGUUAGCCCAGUGCUAAUCCGCACAGAUUGCUGAAGUCCGCUCUGAAUGGUCUCAAUCCCCACGGAAUGCCCAACCACUGCUAAACAUUCAGGAUGUUUAACUGGGUGGUGAAGGUCGUGCCACAUCCUCCCAAUACACAGGAGGAUCUGGGGGAGGAGGCGAUCACUGCGAAUGGAAAAACAUCAACUCGAGAAAAGUUCAAUUCAGCCAAACCAGGUAGAGAGGAAGACCAAUCAUCUCAAACCUCAAAGGACAG